rnacentral:rRNA from 1 species
CUUCUUAGAGGGGCUAUCGGUGUUUAACCGAUGGAAGUUUGAGGCAAUAACAGGUCUGUGAUGCCCCUAGAUGUUCCUGGGCCGCACGCGCGCUACACUGAUGAAGUCAUCGAGUUCAUUUCCUUCAUCGGAAGAUGUGGGUAAUCUUUUGAAACUUCAUCGUGCUGGGGAUAGAGCUUUGCAAUUAUUGCUCUUGAACGAGGAAUCCCUAGUAAGUACAAGUCAUCAGCUUGUGCUGAUUACGUCCCUGCCCUUUGUACCCACCGCCCGUCGCUACUACCGAUUGAAUGGCUUAGUGAGGC